CGGCCGUUCUGCCAGGGCCCGUGUUUAGUUUUGUCCCUUUUGUCACCGCUUCGUUUUUUUAAUUAUUAUUAUUUAUUAUUCUAGAAUCUUGUUAGCACAUCUGUAGAGCUCUUCCUUUCGCGUUGCCUCCUGCUUCUGAAGCGCUGCUGCAGUUGGCGUUCUGGCAGCCUCUGCUUUACGAGCGUGACCCAAACCGCUGGGCCGCAAAUGAGAGCUGAGCGAAACGCCGCCGGGUUCCUUCAGAGACACCUCUCAGCUGUGCCCGCGGUGGGCAGGUGCUCGGCCCCGGAGCCCCGCACAGCACAGAGCAGUCGUGAGGGAGCACCACGGCAGGGCGCCGUGCAGAUCCCUGCUCACAGCACAGAGCCUCAGAAGGCUGAGAAGCGUCAGAAGUGCAGCUCGUAGAGAGGAGCACACAGCUGGCACCCUGAUGUCUUGAGCCAGCCCAGCUCUGCUGGAACUGCAGGUGUCAGCGCUGCUGGGGACAGUCACGACACAAAGCCCAGGCCUGGCACCAGGGCUUGCUGAGUCACAGCCGGCCCUGCGCUGUGUGAGCCACCAGGGACACGAGGGACACAGCACCCAGGACCUCACUGGAAAGGGCCAAGCUGUACCUGCCCUCAGCCCCACCGCUUCAGGGGAUCCUCAGCAGCACAGGCCUGGAUGGACCCCUCCAAACUGGCUGAUGGGCCGGGUCAGCUGCUCUCUACCAGGUCAGUGUGAUCCCUUCAAGAAAAGAAGACUUUUAGAAUUGGAUUGACAGAGAGGUUUUAUCUCCAUCAAAGCAUUCUGGGCUUUCCUAAAAAAUAAAAUGCAUUUAUUUCUUCCCAGUGCUGUGCUGUGGGCUGGGUGCCAGCCAUUGCUGCAUUCAGGCUGCAGUGGGGCCACCUGCACCCAGACCCCAAAGCCACCAGCAUGAGAUCCUGAGCUGGAAUAAAACACGUAGCCUCUUGCUCAUGGAAA